rnacentral:rRNA from 1 species
GACGAACGCUGGCGGCGUGCUUAACGCAUGCAAGUCGAACGGAAAGGCCCUGCUUUUGUGGGGUGCUCGAGUGGCGAACGGGUGAGUAACACGUGAGUAACCUGCCCUUGACUUUGGGAUAACUUCAGGAAACUGGGGCUAAUACCGGAUAGGAGCUCCUGCUGCAUGGUGGGGGUUGGAAAGUUUCGGCGGUUGGGGACGGACUCGCGGCUUAUCAGCUUGUUGGUGGGGUAGUGGCUUACCAAGGCUUUGACGGGUAGCCGGCCUGAGAGGGUGACCGGCCACAUUGGGACUGAGAUACGGCCCAGACUCCUACGGGAGGCAGCAGUGGGGAAUAUUGCACAAUGGGCGGAAGCCUGAUGCAGCAACGCCGCGUGCGGGAUGACGGCCUUCGGGUUGUAAACCGCUUUCGCCUGUGACGAAGCGUGAGUGACGGUAAUGGGUAAAGAAGCACCGGCUAACUACGUG